UGGCGGCGCGUUUAAGCAUGCAAGUCGAGCGGCAAGGGCCUUCGGGCCCCUAGAGCGGCGGACGGGUGAGUAACACGUGGACAAUCUGCCCCCCGGCCCGGGAUAGCCCCAGGGAAACCUGGAUUAAUACCGGAUGAGACGGGACCCGCGAUGGCGGGACCCGGAAAGGCGCUGCGGCGCCGCCGGGGGAUGAGUCUGCGUCCCAUUAGCUAGACGGCGGGGUAACGGCCCACCGUGGCGACGAUGGGUAGCCGGCCUGAGAGGGUGACGGCCACAUUGGAACUGAGACACGGUCCAGACUCCUACGGGAGGCAGCAGCUAAGAAUCUUCCGCAAUGGGCGAAGGCCUGACGGAGCGACGCCCGCGUGAACGAAGAAGGCCGUGAGGUUGUAAAGUUCUUUUCGGGAGGGGGAACAACCGUGGCAGGGAAUGGCCGCGGGAUGACGUGAAUCCCGGAAUAAGCCCCGGCUAACUACGUGCCAGCCGCAGC
rnacentral:rRNA from 1 species